UACGUAGGGGGCAAGCGUUGUCCGGAAUUAUUGGGCGUAAAGAGCGUGUAGGCGGCCAGAUAAGUCCGCUGUGAAAUCUCGAGGCUCAACUUCGAGCUGUCGGUGGAAACUAUCUGGCUAGAGUCCGGAAGAGGAGAAUGGAAUUCCUGGUGUAGCGGUGAAAUGCGCAGAUAUCAGGAGGAACACCGGUGGCGAAGGCGGGUCUCUGGGCAACUACUGACGCUGAGGAGCGAAAGCGUGGGGAGCGAACAGG
rnacentral:rRNA from 1 species